GGGUCUCUAAUGGAAGCCCAGAUCUGUAGAUUUCAAUUCUAUAUGUACUGUUCAAUUGAAUUGAAAUCUGCAAAUCUGGGUUUCCCUUUGAGAUUC
rnacentral:pre_miRNA from 1 species